rnacentral:rRNA from 1 species
GUGAUCUAGCCAUGGGCAGGUUGAAGGUUGGGUAACACUAACUGGAGGACCGAACCGACUAAUGUUGAAAAAUUAGCGGAUGACUUGUGGCUGGGGGUGAAAGGCCAAUCAAACCGGGAGAUAGCUGGUUCUCCCCGAAAGCUAUUUAGGUAGCGCCUCGUGAAUUCAUCUCCGGGGGUAGAGCACUGUUUCGGCAAGGGGGUCAUCCCGACUUACCAACCCGAUGCAAACUGCGAAUACCGGAGAAUGUUAUCACGGGAGACACACGGCGGGUGCUAACGUCCGUCGUGAAGAGGGAAACAACCCAGACCGCCAGCUAAGGUCCCAAAGUCAUGGUUAAGUGGGAAACGAUGUGGGAAGGCCCAGACAGCCAGGAUGUUGGCUUAGAAGCAGCCAUCAUUUAAAGAAAGCGUAAUAGCUCACUGGUCGAGUCGGCCUGCGCGGAAGAUGUAACGGGGCUAAACCAUG